UACAGAGGGGGCAAGCGUUGUUCGGAAUUACUGGGCGUAAAGGGCGCGUAGGCGGCCUUCUAAGUCGAACGUGAAAUCCCCGGGCUCAACCCGGGAACUGCGUCCGAUACUGGAAGGCUUGAAUCCGGGAGAGGGAUGCGGAAUUCCAGGUGUAGCGGUGAAAUGCGUAGAUAUCAGGAAGAACACCCGUGGCGAAGGCGGCUCUCUGGGACGUGACUGACGCUGAGACGCGAAAGCGUGGGGAGCGAACAGG
rnacentral:rRNA from 1 species